GACGAACGCUGGCGGCGUGCUUAACACAUGCAAGUCGAACGGAAAGGCCCUGCUUUUGUGGGGUGCUCGAGUGGCGAACGGGUGAGUAACACGUGAGUAACCUGCCCUUGACUUUGGGAUAACUUCAGGAAACGGGGGCUAAUACCGGAUAGGAGCUCCUGCUGCAUGGUGGGGGUUGGAAAGUUUCGGCGGUUGGGGAUGGACUCGCGGCUUAUCAGCUUGUUGGUGGGGUAGUGGCUUACCAAGGCUUUGACGGGUAGCCGGCCUGAGAGGGUGACCGGCCACAUUGGGACUGAGAUACGGCCCAGACUCAUACGGGAGGCAGCAGUGGGGAAUAUUGCACAAUGGGCGGAAGCCUGAUGCAGCAACGCCGCGUGCGGGAUGACGGCCUUCGGGUUGUAAACCGCUUUCGCCUGUGACGAAGCGUGAGUGACGGUAAUGGGUAAAGAAGCACCGGCUAACUACGUG
rnacentral:rRNA from 1 species